UACGGGGGGGCACGCGUUGUUCGGAAUUACUGGGCGUAAAGGGCUCGUAGGCGGCCAACUAAGUCAGACGUGAAAUCCCUCGGCUUAACCGGGGAACUGCAUCUGAUACUGGAUGGCUUGAGAUUGGGAGAGGGAUGCGGAAUUCCAGGUGUAGCGGUGUAAUGCGUAGAUAUCUGGAGGAACACCGGUGGCGAAGGCGGCAUCCUGGACCAACACUGACGCUGAGGAGCGAAAGCCAGGGGAGCAAACGGG
rnacentral:rRNA from 1 species